rnacentral:rRNA from 1 species
CUUAAUUUGACUCAACGCGGGAAAUCUUACCGGGUCCGGACACACUGAGGAUUGACAGAUAUAUACCCCGUGAUUUUAUCGCGGGGUUGAAAGAUGCUAGUUCUUUCAUGAUUAUGUGAUAGGUGGUGCAUGGCCGUUCUUAGUUCGUGGAGUGAUCUGUCUGCUUAAUUGCGUAUCAAUAAUAGAGACCUAGUAUACGCGUAGACUCAUGCGGUAGUGACCCCCCUUCACAGGGCGCGUGUCGCACGUAUGUUAUACGCACAGGUCUCCGAUAGCAACGAACGUGACCGUACUCUAUUGUUGCAGCGACAAUACCUUUCAACGGGUAUUACCGCUGCUUAGCAAGAUUCGUCUUGCAUUAAACUAUAGAGACCGCUGUUUCUUCUUUAAACCAGAGGAAGGAUACGGCAAUAACAGG